GUGCGUGUGUUAUUAAAACCCUCGGGCUUGUUUCAGAUGAAUUCUACAUUUUAAGAUUUAUGAAGUUCUAAUGGCCAAUAAAGAUAAACUACGCCAGCGCAUCUUUUGUACUCGCAACUAUCUCGGGAUCUUUGAAAGAGUGCGAUAAUUCAUAAUCCGAUGCAUCCAAGCGUGUAUUGAAUCAAGUGGGCGAUAAUUCGAACAUUUGUUUAUAAUUAAAAUUUGAAAUUAAAUACUAUUAAAUGUUAAUAAAUAUUACUUUAUUUUCCUUUAUUAAUAAACAUCUUGAGCUGUAUCUCAGUUUCCAAAG